UUAUACAUCACGAGGAACAACUUUUGUCAUAUGUAGGAAGACAAACUUAUUUUGUAUUGAUGCUUAGUUGAUUUGUGUUAAAUGAAUUGCUUAUUGUAAUGAAUAUGCUUGCAAUAUUAUAAAGCCACAUCUUGAAGUCUAUUGAUGUCCUACACUGUGUAGGCAGUGACCAAUUGUUGUUGCUUAACAGGUCCCAUAAGUUCGUAUUUGCAUAAUUCUUGACAUGUUUCUCUUUUUUGGGUGGCAAAGGAGGCUUCGUUCUUUAUUCUGCAAUCCAUGAUACUGAUUCCGUGGAAUGGAAGAUUACCUGUUAUGUUCUUCUUGAUUAGUUCUCAGUCUUUUCCAUGGAUUUCAUAUUUCAGGAUUUCCGUCAGCUUCUUGAUGAAAAACUUGAACUAUCAUUGAAGUUGAGAGACUUAACUAUUCACUAGGUACAAGAAGGAUUUCAAGAAUUCUUCAGAAAACUCAAUGAGUGAUUCCUUUUUCUUUCAGGCAAGAGUAAGUCAGGUAGCCAAGAUCUAAGUUUGACGCAGGGAGUGCAAGGAGAAAAGGUCCUUCCUGGGAUUGUUCUUCUGUUCGCUCAAUUAUCUCUUUUCAUUGGGCGAAGUGCUAUCCCAAGAAUUACCGAGGAAAUAGCUUCUUCCUUUUCUUCUGGUCGUGCUCGGGGUUAUGAGUAUGGCCCUGCUUUCAUCCCUGCAGUGAUUUGUCGCACCUUCUGGGUAGCUGGGGAGAAGUGCUUGGACCAUUAUGUAAGGUUAAGAGCUCAAAAGAUAUCAGUUAUGUUGCGGACGAGGUUUACAACACCAAACUGGGUUUAAGCACAACGAGCCAAGAGAGGUUCAUAUGUUUGUUGAUCUGCUGCUUCAAGAGUUCGAAGCCAUAAGAGGCGAAGUAAAGCAGAUUUUACCUCCAGAACUUAGCCGUAAACAUCGUCGUACAGACAGUAACGGGAGCACCACCACUUCUCGCAGCAAUCCUUUGAGAGACGACAGAAUGAACCGGUCAAAUACUCAAAGGGCCACGAGCCAGCUACUGGAAUCCCAUCUAGCAAAAUUGUUUAAACAAAAAAUGGAGAUAUUUAUGAAAAUUGAAUUCACACAGGUUUGGUAGGAGUGCUUGUUGCUAGGUAAUUUACAUUAUUCCCACCGGUAAUAUAGCUAUUUUUUAGUUC